rnacentral:rRNA from 1 species
GACGAACGCUGGCGGCGUGCUUAACACAUGCAAGUCGAACGGAAAGGCCCUGCUUUUGUGGGGUUCUCGAGAGGCGAACGGGGGAGUAAAACGUGAGUAACCUGCCCUUGACUGUGGGAUAACUUCAGGAAACUGGGGCUAAUACCGGAUAGGAGCUCCUGAUGCAUGGUGGGGGUUGGAAAGUUUCGGCGGUUGGGGAUGGACUCGCGGCUUAUCAGCUUGUUGGUGGGGUAGUGGCUUACCAAGGCUUUGACGGGUAGCCGGCCUGAGAGGGUGACCGGCCACAUUGGGCCUGAGAUACGGCCCAGACUCCUACGGGAGGCAGCAGUGGGGAAUAUUGCACAAUGGGCGGAAGCCUGAUGCAGCAACGCCGCGUGCGGGAUGACGGCCUUCGGGUUGUAAACCGCUUUCGCCUGUGCCGAAGCGUGCGUGACGGUAAUGGGUAAAGAAGCACCGGCUAACUACGUG